rnacentral:rRNA from 1 species
AUGGAAGCAUCACAGAUGACCACCACCAUCUUCUCUACCAUCGUCAUCAUGCUUCUUUCCUCGGCCAUCGCUGCUCAGAGCAGUGGUGACGUUGGUGGCAAGCCCAAACCGACGGACUUCAUGGUGGGAGCGUGCAAGAACGUUUCGAACUUCUCCCGCGGACACAACGAAGGAGACAAGUACGUGAGCCAAGAAUUUUGCAUCUCGACCCUCCAGUCCGACAACCGAAGCGCCAACGCCAAGAACCUCCACGACCUAGCGCUCAUACCCGUCGACAUCCUCAAGGAGCGCGUUGUCACCGCCGGUGGCAACGUCAAGAAUAUGUUGCAUAACACCAAGAACAGCACAUCGUCGACGGCACGCCAUCUCAGAAUCUGUGAGCUGGACUACGCGGCUACUGCGAGCAUCCUGAACUUCUGCGACGCCUUGAUGAGGAACUACCAGGGUGAAAGAAGCGCGGGCCACGACGAUGACAAGCCGCUAUUCUCCAAGCUGCCCGAAUGUGUGGACAAAGUGUACGAGGUCUCCAGCUACUGCGCAAUUGCGCUUCUUGAUAUGCCGGGGGCGGAGGCGCUGCUCAAGGAAAGCCAUCAACUGGACAUGCUGAUCAAUCUCAGCAUCGCCUUGCUAGCACCAUACAAAGAUCUCGAGUCAUAA